GGUGUAAGUGACAGCGAACUGAAAGAACGAAUCACGAAUGGAUAUAUAAUGAGAAGGCCGCUACAUUGUGGUGAAGAUCUGUUCAACAUAAUUUCAGACUGUUGGAAGACGGACAUAAAGCAACGCAGCACCUUUCAUGACAUGCACAUCAAAAUUGGUUGGAUUCUCGAGGGUUCAAAUGAUUAUCUCUCCCUGAACAGGAUGAGUGACGAGGAUAUUUACACUGAUAUACCUGACUUGGAAUAGGGGUCAAAUGGUUAAUAAUUUUGUUCAGACAUAAUUUUCUUAGCACACACAACAGUCUGCUUCAAAAUGAAACUUGAUUCCAUGUAUAUGAUUAUCAUUUUAAAUUACUAAAAUCAGAACAACAAUAUUAACGUUAUCAAUAAACUACUACUACUACUAGAAGUUAAUUUAUCUAAAAACGUAAUUCCGAUUGUAAAUACAAUCCAAUACUAAUUGUUUUCGUACUACAAUAAUGAUAUUUUUAGAAUGUAUGCCACUCUAAACAAAGUAUCAUUUCAGUUUAUUAUUCCAUUUCUGAUGGAAUAUAUGAAUGCUUUGAAUGCUUUUGAACUAUAUAUUUUCAGCAUCCUUAUUAAACUGCUCUUUCUUGUUCUAAAACUAUAUCUUUAAUCUUAGUGUAAUUUACCGCAAUAAAACAGGUCACUUAGUUCAGCUUUUUACAUAUUGGUAGGUAUAUAAUCAUUUGUACAUUAACCCCUGUUAAUUCAAUCCAUAAUGUCUGGUGUGAUUUUUUUCAACUUUUAUUUUGUUAUUUUAAAGUGAUGUCGUCAUCUUUUGUUUGAAUAUUCACUUUCGUUAUGUAGGAUCGUAUCACUUCUAAGAUUUCUUAUAUAAAUAUUUUAAUGUAGAUUCAAUGAAUAUCAAUUGUCUCAUGAAACAUUUCACUCUUCCAAAUAAUUUCUUAGAACCAAUUAUUUAUCAUUUGUGUAUUUUGUGUAACUUGCACCGAUCAUGUUUCUAUUCAACUUAACUGGUACUAAAAUCAACAUUUAUUGGAAUGAGAUAAGAUUUGCCCUAAAAAUUGUAUAUGUUUGUAUGUUGUUAUUUAGUAUAAUAAUGUUCAUUCUUAUUCUGAUUUCGUAUAUUGUACAUUUUGUUCUUCUGAUUAUCUACAAAACAUUAUUAAUGAGUAAAUGUUUGGGUUUAAUAUGAAAUCUUGAAUCUUAAACUACUUAUUUUGAUAAUAAUAAUGAUAAUACCAUCAAUAAAAAUAAGAAGAA